rnacentral:rRNA from 1 species
UUGAACGCUGGCGGCAUGCCUUACACAUGCAAGUCGAACGGCAGCACGGGAGCAAUCCUGGUGGCGAGUGGCGAACGGGUGAGUAAUAUAUCGGAACGUGCCCAGUCGUGGGGGAUAACGUAGCGGAAGUUACGCUAAUACCGCAUACGAUCUACGGAUGAAAGCGGGGGACUCGCAAGAGCCUCGCGCGAUUGGAGCGGCCGAUAUCAGAUUAGGUAGUUGGUGGGGUAAAGGCUCACCAAGCCAACGAUCUGUAGCUGGUCUGAGAGGACGACCAGCCACACUGGAACUGAGACACGGUCCAGACUCCUACGGGAGGCAGCAGUGGGGAAUUUUGGACAAUGGACGCAAGUCUGAUCCAGCCAUUCCGCGUGCAGGAUGAAGGCCCUCGGGUUGUAAACUGCUUUUGUACGGAACGAAAAGGUUUCUAUUAAUACUAGGAGCUCAUGACGGUACCGUAAGAAUAAGCACCGGCUAACUACGUG